AACCAGACUCCUACGGGAGGCAGCAGUGGGGAAUAUUGCACAAUGGGGGAAACCCUGAUGCAGCGACGCCGCGUGAGUGAAGAAGUAUUUCGGUAUGUAAAGCUCUAUCAGCAGGGAAGAAAAUGACGGUACCUGAUUAAGAAGCCCCGGCUAACUACGUGCCAGCAGCCGCGGUAAUACGUAGGGGGCAAGCGUUAUCCGGAUUUACUGGGUGUAAAGGGAGCGCAGACGGCUGUGCAAGUCUGGAGUGAAAGGCGGGGGCCCAACCCCCGGACUGCUCUGGAAACUGUAAAGCUGGAGUGCAGGAGAGGUAAGCGGAAUUCCUAGUGUAGCGGUGAAAUGCGUAGAUAUUAGGAGGAACACCAGUGGCGAAGGCGGCUUACUGGACUGCAACUGACGUUGAGGCUCGAAAGCGUGGGGAGCAAACAGGAUUAGAUACCCGUGUA
rnacentral:rRNA from 1 species